rnacentral:rRNA from 1 species
UACGUAGGUGGCAAGCGUUGUCCGGAAUUAUUGGGCGUAAAGCGUGUGUAGGCGGCCGCGCAAGUCGGAUGUGAAAGCCCCGGGCUCAACCCGGGAAGUGCACCCGAAACUGCGUGGCUUGAGUACCGGAGAGGUUGGUGGAAUUCUCGGUGUAGAGGUGAAAUGCGCAGAUAUCGGGAAGAACACCCGUGGCGAAGGCGGCUCUCUGGGACGGUACUGACGCUGAGACGCGAAAGCGUGGGGAGCGAACAGG